rnacentral:lncRNA from 1 species
UUCUAGUCACAAUUUAUUUUGACAGGUGAACUCUCUGCAACAUAAAUUUUAUUAAUUUACCUGGUCUUAAAUCCGACAUAUAUUUCAUCUUUAGGCACGUGAGCAUGCGUUUAUUAUUUAUAACAGUGAUACUCUUUAGUCUUUUACCUUUUGGUUGGUUCAUAUUUUGAGGUAAUGACGAAGAAUAAACCAUACUAAUAACAGUGGCUGUGUCAACCAGAACCGGGACAAUGUAUUCAUUAAUACCACCCAAUCUAAACUGUAGUGUAUACGGUAUAAAACUCACACUGUUACUGGAUACAUUUUUUUUUGUCUUUUCAUCAUUUGUAUCAUAAGAUGUUUUUGUUGACUGAAAGUAAUUAAUAUUUUGAUUCACCCUUUAAUGUUGAUAUUUGAUAUGUAUUUGUAUGAAAUAGAAGUUGGUAGUUACUUCCCUGAACCCUGCCUGGAGGGUAUUCUUCAGCCUGGUAAUGAAAUGAAGAUGAGGAAACAAGUAAAACAAAGCCAAACAAUGAUCCAAUUCAUUAAACAAAAUCCGAUCAACAAUGAGGAAACAAGUAAAAUUAUGUCUCACAUAAUUUAUGCACAUUAUAAAGUUUUAUUUCUGGCAUGAAAAAACUGGAACAGGUGCUUUUGGAAUUUGGAUGUGGUGAUAUGGAUUUGGAUGAACUACAAUGACUGCUAUCGCUUGCAUGUAGUGAAAGAGAGAGAGAAAAGGUUUAUUGCCAAUUUUAGUUUUUGCAACUUAUUAUUAUUAUAAGGAAAUGUAAACCAGUGCUCGAACAUGGCCUUCUCCAUUUGCAACACAAUGAUAAUUAAAUUACUAAUCAGAUUUGAGGCAAGACUAUGUUUAUUGUGCAAUUUCUAUUGGUGUUGUCAAUGCAACUACUCUGUAUUACAAUGACAGGUCUUGCUCAUUGGUUUGCUUAUUUAUGCUAUUAUGUAAUAUGUACAGAUCUACUUCUUUUCAAGGUAGAUUACUGAAACACAAUCUUGAUGCUGAAGUUGUGGAUGCUCUGAAGAACCUGAGGCAAAAACUAUCUAAAAAUGAGUUGAAGUAGAAUGAAUACCAGUCGCAAUUCUAGUCACAAUUUAUUUUGACAGGUGAACUCUCUGCAACAUAAAUUUUAUUAAUUUACCUGGUCUUAAAUCCGACAUAUAUUUCAUCUUUAGGCACGUGAGCAUGCGUUUAUUAUUUAUAACAGUGAUACUCUUUAGUCUUUUACCUUUUGGUUGGUUCAUAUUUUGAGGUAAUGACGAAGAAUAAACCAUACUAAUAACAGUGGCUGUGUCAACCAGAACCGGGACAAUGUAUUCAUUAAUACCACCCAAUCUAAACUGUAGUGUAUACGGUAUAAAACUCACACUGUUACUGGAUACAUUUUUUUUUGUCUUUUCAUCAUUUGUAUCAUAAGAUGUUUUUGUUGACUGAAAGUAAUUAAUAUUUUGAUUCACCCUUUAAUGUUGAUAUUUGAUAUGUAUUUGUAUGAAAUAGAAGUUGGUAGUUACUUCCCUGAACCCUGCCUGGAGGGUAUUCUUCAGCCUGGUAAUGAAAUGAAGAUGAGGAAACAAGUAAAACAAAGCCAAACAAUGAUCCAAUUCAUUAAACAAAAUCCGAUCAACAAUGAGGAAACAAGUAAAAUUAUGUCUCACAUAAUUUAUGCACAUUAUAAAGUUUUAUUUCUGGCAUGAAAAAACUGGAACAGGUGC